AGUGGCUGCGGCUCCGGCGCGGAGCCCAGAGCUGGUUCGGCGCGUCGACUGCCCAGAGUCCGCGGCCGGGGCGCAGGAGGAGCUAAGCCGCCAUGGCCUACCACAGCUUCCUGGUGGAGCCCAUCAGCUGCCACGCCUGGAACAAGGAUCGCAGCCAGAUCGCCAUCUGCCCCAACAACCAUGAGGUGCACAUCUAUGAAAAGAGCGGUGCCAAAUGGACCAAGGUGCACGAGCUGAAGGAGCACAACAGGCAGGUGACAGGCAUCGACUGGGCCCCCGAGAGUAACCAUAUUGUGACCUGCGGCACAGACCGCAACGCCUACGUGUGGACGCUGAAGGGCCGCACGUGGAAGCCCACGCUGGUCAUCCUGCGGAUCAACCGGGCCGCCCGCUGCGUGUGCUGGGCCCCCAACGAGAACAAGUUUGCUGUGGGCAGCGGCUCCCGUGUCAUCUCCAUCUGUUAUUUCAAGCAGCAGAAUGACUGGUGGGUUUGCAAGCACAUCAAGAAGCCCAUCCGCUCCACCGUCCUCAGCCUGGACUGGCACCCCAACAACGUGCUGCUGGCUGCUGGCUCCUGUGACUUCAAGUGCCGGAUCUUUUCAGCCUACAUCAAGGAGGUGGAGGAACGGCCGGCACCCACCCCAUGGGGCUCCAAGAUGCCCUUUGGGGAGCUGAUGUUCGAAUCUAGCAGUAGCUGUGGCUGGGUACAUGGCGUCUGCUUCUCAGCCAGUGGGAGCCGCGUGGCCUGGGUGAGCCACGACAUCACCGUGUGCCUGGCUGAUGCUGACAAGAAGAUGGCCGUGGCGACUCUGGCCUCUGAAACGCUACCACUGCUGGCGCUGACCUUCAUCACAGACAACAGCCUGGUGGCAGCGGGCCACGACUGCUUCCCGGUGCUGUUCACCUAUGACGCCGCUGCGGGGAUGCUGAGCUUUGGCGGACAGCUGGAUGUUCCCAAGCAGAGCUCGCAGCGUGGCUUGACGGCCCGCGAGCGCUUCCAGAACCUCGACAAGAAGGCGAGCUCGGAGGGCGGCACGACUGCGGGCGCGGGCCUGGACUCACUGCACAAGAACAGCGUCAGCCAGAUCUCAGUGCUCAGUGGGGGCAAGGCCAAGUGCUCGCAGUUCUGCACCACUGGCAUGGACGGCGGCAUGAGUAUCUGGGAUGUUAAGAGCUUGGAGUCAGCCUUGAAGGACCUCAAGAUCAAAUGACCUGUGAGGAAUAUGUUACCUUCAUCCUAGCUGCUGGGGAAGCAGGGAGAGGAGUCUGGGAGGCUAAUGGUUGCUUUGCUGAAUGUUUCUGGGGUACCAAUGUGAGUCCCCAUAGGGGCUGCUCCCUCAAAGAGGGGACAGAUGGGGAGCUUUUCUUACCUAUUCAAGAAAUAUGUGCCUUUUUCUUAAAGAAAUGCUUUCAUUUAUUGAAGAAAAAAAAAAUGCCCCCAAAGCACUAUGCUGGUCACGAACUGCUUCAAAAUGUGGAGGUAAUAAAAUGCAACUGUGUAAAAAAAAAAAAAAAAAAAAAAAAAAAAAAAAAAAAAAAAAAAAAAAA